CCGAUAGCGUGGCACAAAAUGGUCGGUUCGAGACGUCGUGCAAAAUGCGUGCCAGAUGUUGAUGGGUUCUUGCGGCAGAGUGCAAUUCAAGAAGGUUGAAGGAAUCUAGACUGGUCGUAUGUCCGGAAAAUGGUUUUUGCCACAAAGAUGGGGGCCAAAAUUAUAAAACAAAGAGGGUAAUAUAUAAAGUGUAAA